rnacentral:piRNA from 1 species
UAGAAAUGCCUCCUCUGCCUCUCAGCUUC